UUUCACUCAAUGUGCAUGGUGUUUGUAAUGUGUAUAUAUUCUGACCAACUCCAGCUUAUUCUCAACAAAAUUGCUUGUUUCAAAGUAGAAGCUCAACAAAUUGUCCAAGAAGAAGGCACAAAAAGAAUGGGAAGAUUUUCAAUAUCCAUGAAGGGUUUUGUGUUGUUCUUCCUAUGGGCAGUGAUUGCAGAAGCAGAGUACCUAAAAUACAAAGACCCAAAACAGCCAAUGGUUACAAGAAUUAAGGACUUGAUGAAAAGGAUGACUCUUGAGGAAAAGAUUGGUCAGAUGUCUCAGAUUGAUGACAGAUUAGCCUCAGCUAAUGUUACGAAGCAAUAUUUCAUUGGGAGUGUGUUGAAUGUUCCAGUGCAUGUUGCUGCACCUAAGGCCUCUGCUGAGGAUUGGGUGAAUAAGGUAAACAAGAUUCAAAAGGAUGCUCUUUCGACCCGCCUUGCUAUUCCAAUGAUUUAUGGGAUUGAUGCAAUUCAUGGACACAACAAUGUCUAUAAUGCUACUAUCUUUCCUCACAAUAUUGGACUUGGUGUCACCAGGGACCCUGCUCUUGUCAAACGGAUUGGUGCUGCAACUGCACUUGAAGUUAGAGCUACAGGAAUCCCAUAUGCUUUUGCUCCCUGCAUUGCAGUUUGCAGAGAUCCUAGGUGGGGCCGUUGUUAUGAAAGCUACAGUGAAGAUGUCAAAAUUGUGCGAGCCAUGACAGAGAUAAUUCCUGGUUUACAAGGAGAUGUGCCAGCUAAUUUUAGCAAGGGUGUUCCCUUUGUUGGAGGAAAGAGGUCACGGGUUCAAGCCUUGGAAACAGCCUCUGGCAGAAAUGCAAGGUCAAAGGUAGCAGCCUGCGCCAAGCAUUAUGUGGGAGAUGGAGGCACACUGAGGGGAAUUGAUGAAAAUAACACUGUAAUAAACUCAACUACAUUACAUGGCAUCCACAUGCCUGCAUAUAUUGAUUCCAUCAUAAAGGAUGUUUCAACGGUGAUGGUGUCUUACUCGAGCUUGAAUGGGGAAAAGAUGCACGCUAACCGAAAACUUGUCACUGGCUACCUAAAGAACCAGCUCAACUUCAGGGGUUUCAUCAUUUCUGAUUCGGAAGGCAUUGACCGGAUUACAAGCCCACCUCAUGCUAAUUACACUUAUUCAGUAUUAGCUGGAAUUUUAGCAGGAAUUGACAUGGUUAUGAUUCCAGUGAAUUAUGCAGAAUUUAUUGGUAAUCUGACUCGACUAGUGAAAGAUAAUAUCAUUCCCAUGAGCAGAAUUGAUGAUGCUGUAAAGCGGAUAUUGAGAGUUAAGUUUACCAUGGGUCUCUUUGAGAACCCACUGGCUGACCUAGGCUUGGUAAACCAACUUGGUAGCCAGGAGCAUCGAGAGUUGGCAAGGGAAGCAGUAAGGAAAUCACUUGUCCUUUUGAAGAAUGGCAAGAGCACUAGUCGGCCAUUACUUCCCAUUCCAAAGAAAGCACCAAAGAUACUUGUAGCUGGAACUCAUGCUGACAAUUUGGGUUACCAAUGUGGAGGCUGGACAAUACAUUGGCAGGGCGUCGCAGGCAAUGAUUUAAUAGUUGAGACCUACAACUUGUGAAGCGGAUUGGGGCUGCAACUACCCUCUGAGGGCAGAACCACAGGAAUCCCUUACACUUUUGCACGGUGCAUCGCAUAAAACACUUUGAACAUAUUUUCAAUCUUAAACCUCCUAUUAUGGAUCUCACAAUUCUUGAUUGCAUUCCUACUUGUAUUGUCAUGAGGAUAAUACAAUUAGCAGUGUGAUCCUUUGGACAAUGCCAAACCAAGGAAGUAUCAAUAAUAUUAAUACCUAUGGGAGAUACACAGAUCAUAAUGACAAUGCAGGGAUUGGGGGGAUAGCCAGAGACUGCAAUGGGGAUUUUAUUUCCGCUUUUACUAUUCCUGGACAGUGCCAAAAUCAUAAUAUAGCAGAGGCUCUGGCUGCUCAAUAUGUAGGCCAAUGGAUCAAAGACAACAAUCACAGGUUGUGCACAAUUGAGAUAAAAAAACGCUUUGAUUAUAGUGAAUAUGCCGAAGAAGAAGAAGACCAACAACCUGAAUUUGAAGACUUUUGUGGAUGAAACUGUGGGCUUGAUUGAUGGAGCAGAUAUUACCUUCUCACACUGUUAUAGAGAAGCUAAUAAAGUGGCGGAUUAUCUAGCAAAGUUAGCCGCUACUCUUGAUCCUGAACUAGUGUUAUAAACUUUAGACCAUAUCUUUCUGGUUUCCAGAACAGCUGCAACUUGUGCACUGUUUGAAGAAUGAUCUACAGAUCCGCUGUGCACGUAAAGAUUAAUGCGACUUUUGAAUUUAUUUUAGAGAUC